GGGCUCGUAGCUCAGCCUGGUAGAGCAGCGGACUCUUAAUCCGUUUGUCGCGGGUUCAAAUCCCGUCGAGCCCA
rnacentral:tRNA from 10 species